rnacentral:misc_RNA from 1 species
GCGAGUAUGGCCCUCACGGGUCUAAUCCACCAUAAACACCUUUGUGAACCAGUCAGGGGACUCGGCCGUGAAAGCCCAGGCGAUUAGCGGAAGGGCCCUCCUUUGCAAACCCGUUUAGAAGUCCUUGAAAGUACUUUUGUAUAAUCUAGUA